rnacentral:misc_RNA from 1 species
CCCGUUUGCAGUCGCCAUUUUCGUUUUAUUAGAGCAGGCCAUUGUGAGAAGGGUGAAAAACUCAAAGGAUCCUGACGAUUCCGGAGCAACGUGAAGCCAGCAGAACUACAGCCUCGUAAAAGGAAAUAUUUUAUUAUAUUAUAAUAUCUUAAAAUAAUAUUAUAAUCGAGCCGUACGUCACUAUAAAAUCAAUCACUUCAUUAUAUCAUAUAUCGUGGACGUCUGCUAAUGCGUGGCAUUUCAGAAAACUCUCCAAGUCGUACAAUGGCGGAGGACUUGGAUGUUGAGGCGAUGCUGGAGGCACCUUAUAAAAAAGGGGACCAGGAUACCUCCUCAUCCAAAGACAAGUCCAAGGAAAAUGGGUCCAGCCGAAAAUCAUCUGGAAAAAGUAAACAUCGAUCACGAUCGCGUUCUCGCUCACGGGAUCGACGAGAUCGUCGUGACCGUGAGCGAGACAGGGACAGGGAUCGUGACAGAGACCAUCGAGAUCGUGACCGCGAUCGAGAUAGGAAAAGGAGAUCCCGUUCUCGCGAUAAACGAGACCGAGAUAGGGAUGAUAAGGAUCGUGAUAGACGAGACAGAGAUCGAGAUCGUGAGAGAAGAAGAAAACGCUCUCUAACACCAAUCACAUUACCAAGAGCUCGGCCAUUUGGAAAGGGAGUUAGUCCACUUGGAAUGAGAAAUGAUGAAUUGACUCCAGAAGAGCGUGAUGCCCGUACAGUAUUUUGCAUGCAAUUGAGUCAACGCAUUAGAGCAAGAGAUUUGGAAGAAUUUUUUUCAAGUGUAGGAAAAGUACAAGAUGUGAGACUUAUAACAUGCAACAAAACAAGACGUUUCAAAGGAAUUGCUUAUGUAGAGUUUAAAGAUCCAGAAAGUGUUACAUUAGCUUUAGGUUUAUCAGGUCAAAAACUAUUGGGAGUUCCAAUUGUUGUACAACAUACUCAAGCUGAGAAAAAUCGAAUGGGUAAUUCUAUGCCCAAUUUAAUGCCUAAAGGACAAACUGGACCAAUGAGGUUAUAUGUUGGAUCUCUUCAUUUUAAUAUUACUGAAGAUAUGCUUCGUGGUAUCUUUGAACCUUUUGGAAAAAUAGACAAUAUUCAAUUAAUAAUGGAUCCUGAAACGGGUAGAAGCAAAGGAUACGGAUUUUUAACUUUUAGAAAUGCAGAUGAUGCUAAAAAAGCACUGGAACAACUUAAUGGUUUUGAACUUGCUGGAAGACCUAUGAAAGUCGGAAAUGUUACAGAACGAACUGAUCUUAUUCAAGGACCAUCAUUACUUGAUACAGAUGAAUUAGAUCGUAGUGGAAUUGAUCUUGGUGCUACUGGAAGGCUACAAUUAAUGUUCAAACUUGCAGAAGGAACGGGAUUAGAAAUUCCUCAAGCUGCAGCUAAUGCUUUAAAUAUGGCACCGGUGAUGAAUACACCCCAACAAGCACAACAAACGACACCACCAAUUGCUACACAAUGUUUUAUGUUAUCCAAUAUGUUUGAUCCACAGAAUGAAUCCAAUACAUCAUGGGCAAGAGAAAUUCGGGAUGAUGUAAUUGAAGAAUGCAACAAACAUGGUGGUGUACUCCAUGUGUAUGUUGAUCAAGCCUCACCACAAGGCAAUGUUUAUGUCAAAUGUCCAUCAAUUGCUACUGCAGUUGCAGCUAUAAAUUCUUUACAUGGACGAUGGUUUGCUGGACGUGUUAUCACAGCGGCGUAUGUACCGCUUGUUAAUUACCAUUCGUUAUUCCCAGAUGCAAUGACAGCACUUCAAUUGCUGGCUCCUAGUGCACCAAGAAGAGGAAUUUGAUCCUAAUAAUUGGAAAUAUAACUUUUUUAUGAGCUCACUAUAGCUAUUUAAGAUACGAUAGUAGAUGGAUUAUUGAAUAUUACGAUACCUUAUAUAAAUAAUAAAGAGCUACAAUCAAUGACAAAACUAAACAAAGAACUAUGAAAAGUAAAAAUGUGAAUAAGAGAAUUUCACUGAAUUAUUUGUGUACAAAAAAUGAAAAAACUUGUAGUAUGUAUUUUUCUUUACAUAUAUUUUUCGUAGAUAACAUCAAUAUUUGAAUUCAUUCCAAAUUAAAAUAUAAAUAAAAUUUGUACAUAACAAUUGUAAAUUAAAAU